UACGGAGGGUGCAAGCGUUAUCCGGAUUUACUGGGUUUAAAGGGUGCGUAGGUGGGUUGGUAAGUCAGUGGUGAAAUCUUCGAGCUUAACUCGGAAACUGCCAUUGAUACUAUCAAUCUUGAAUUAUCUGGAGGUAAGCGGAAUAUGUCAUGUAGCGGUGAAAUGCUUAGAUAUGACAUAGAACACCAAUUGCGAAGGCAGCUUACUACCCGAAUAUUGACACUGAGGCACGAAAGCGUGGGGAUCAAACAGG
rnacentral:rRNA from 1 species